GCGGACCGACGGGAGCUUGCUCCCUUAGGUCAGCGGCGGACGGGUGAGUAACACGUGGGUAACCUGCCUGUAAGACUGGGAUAACUCCGGGAAACCGGGGCUAAUACCGGAUGCUUGAUUGAACCGCAUGGUUCAAUCAUAAAAGGUGGCUUUUAGCUACCACUUACAGAUGGACCCGCGGCGCAUUAGCUAGUUGGUGAGGUAACGGCUCACCAAGGCGACGAUGCGUAGCCGACCUGAGAGGGUGAUCGGCCACACUGGGACUGAAACACGGCCCAGACUCCUACGGGAGGCAGCAGUAGGGAAUCUUCCGCAAUGGACGAAAGUCUGACGGAACAACGCCGCGUGAGUGAUGAAGGUUUUCGGAUCGUAAAACUCUGUUGUUAGGGAAGAACAAGUACCGUUCGAAUAGGGCGGUACCUUGACGGUACCUAACCAGAAAGCCACGGCUAACUACGUGCCAGCAGCCGCGGUAAUACGUAGGUGGCAAGCGUUGUCCGGAAUUAUUGGGCGUAAAGCGCGCGCAGGCGGUUUCUUAAGUCUGAUGUGAAAGCCCCCGGCUCAACCGGGGAGGGUCAUUGGAAACUGGGGAACUUGAGUGCAGAAGAGGAGAGUGGAAUUCCACGUGUAGCGGUGAAAUGCGUAGAGAUGUGGAGGAACACCAGUGGCGAAGGCGACUCUCUGGUCUGUAACUGACGCUGAAGCGCGAAAGCGUGGGGA
rnacentral:rRNA from 1 species